GAUGAAGAACGUAGCAAAAUGCGAUACUUGGUGUGAAUUGCAGAAUCCCGUGAACCAUCGAGUUUUUGAACGCAAGUUGCGCCCGAAGCCUUUUGGCCGAGGGCACGUCUGCCUGGGCGUCACGCAUCGCGUCGCCCCCCACAAUUCUCCGUAAAGGGAACAUGUGUUUUGGGGGCGGAUAUUGGUCUCCCGUGCUCAUGGCGUGGUUGGCCGAAAUAGGAGUCCUUUCGAUGGACGCACGAACUAGUGGUGGUCGUAAAAACCCUUGUCUUUUGUUUCGUGCUGUUGGUCGCAAGGUAAACUCUUUAAAAACCCCAAUGUGUCGUCUCUUGACGACGCUUCGACCGCGACCCCAGGUCAGGCGGGACUACCCGCUGAGUUUAAGCAUAUCAAUAAGCGGAGGA
rnacentral:misc_RNA from 1 species